GGGACAAUAAAACAAAUCACAUGAAAUUAAAUGGAAGUUCCUGGGGGUCACCCCCACCCCGUUCAAUUUGAGAAUGUACUAUUAUCUUUUAAGCGGUCCAGAUCCCCACCCUAAACCAUAUAUAUUCUGUAGGGGACAAUAAAAAAAAUGAAAUGAAAUAAAAGGGAAGUCUGGAGGGGUCACCCCACCCCCUCUUGUUUGAAAACUUGUGAACGGUCAACAUCCCCAACCCUAAACCAUAUAUAUUCUUGUAGGGGACAAUAAAACAAAUGAAAUGAAAUUAAAGAGAAGUUCCUGGGGGUCGCCCCACCCCGUUCAAUUUGAGAAUGUGCUAUUAUCUUGUAAACGGUCCAGAUCCCCACCCUUAAACCAUAUAUAUUCUUGUAGGGGACAAUAAAACAAAUCAAAUAAAAUGUAUGUAACUUCCCUGGGUGUCACCACCACCCCCUCCUGUUUGAAUACUUGUAAAUGGUGGAGAUCCCUACUCGUAAGCCAUAUAUAUUCUUGUAUGGGACAAAAAAUCAAAUCAAAUGAACAUAUGAAUGGCGAGUUAUGGAAGC
rnacentral:lncRNA from 1 species